CUCGAUGCCUUUAGGAGUUCUUUGACUCCUAAAAUUGUUCAAGCUCUUAUCUGUACACAAGAUUGGAUUCGGGGUUCACAUACUCCAAUUAAGGUUGAAGAAGACAUAGAUGACCUUGAAAAUCUAGAAAAAGAGUUGUCAAAGGUUGCAUUGGAGUCCACAAUUGGUGAAUAAGACAAACAAAGAAAGACAAAGGACUUACAGGUGAAAUAAGCAGAGAAAUUGUGCUUUGUAUUUUGCAAUGUAAGAAGCUGAAAAGUGGGAGUUUCUAAUACAAGAAGCCAUGAAAUUGUAGCUGUCACUUGUCAGCUGAUGUAUGAAGCAUUGAAG